UACGGAGGGAGCUAGCGUUGUUCGGAAUUACUGGGCGUAAAGCGCACGUAGGCGGCUUUUUAAGUCAGGGGUGAAAUCCCGGGGCUCAACCCCGGAACUGCCCUUGAAACUGGAGAGCUAGAAUCUUGGAGAGGCGAGUGGAAUUCCGAGUGUAGAGGUGAAAUUCGUAGAUAUUCGCAAGAACACCAGUGGCGAAGGCGGCUCACUGGCCCGGUACUGACGCUGAGGUGCGAAAGCGUGGGGAGCAAACAGG
rnacentral:rRNA from 1 species